rnacentral:rRNA from 1 species
UAGGGAAUCUUCCACAAUGGACGCAAGUCUGAUGGAGCAACGCCGCGUGAGUGAAGAAGGCUUUCGGGUCGUAAAACUCUGUUAUUGAAGAAGAACGUGUGUGACAGUAACUGGUCAUGCAGUGACGGUAUUCAAUCAGAAAGUCACGGCUAACUACGUGCCAGCAGCCGCGGUAAUACGUAGGUGGCAAGCGUUGUCCGGAUUUAUUGGGCGUAAAGCGAGUGCAGGCGGUCUUUUAAGUCUGAUGUGAAAGCCUUCGGCUUAACCGAAGAAGGGCAUCGGAAACUGGGAGACUUGAGUGCAGAAGAGGAGAGUGGAACUCCAUGUGUAGCGGUGAAAUGCGUAGAUAUAUGGAAGAACACCAGUGGCGAAGGCGGCUCUCUGGUCUGUAACUGACGCUGAGGCUCGAAAGCGUGGGUAGCAAACAGGAU